rnacentral:rRNA from 1 species
AGUGAACGCUGGCGGUAGGCCUAACACAUGCAAGUCGAACGGCAGCACAGUAAGAGCUUGCUCUUACGGGUGGCGAGUGGCGGACGGGUGAGGAAUACAUCGGCAUCUACUUUUUCGUGGGGGAUAACGUAGGGAAACUUACGCUAAUACCGCAUACGACCUACGGGUGAAAGCAGGGGAUCUUCGGACCUUUCGCGAUUGAAUGAGCCGAUGUCGGAUUAGCUAGUUGGCGGGGUAAAGGCCCACCAAGGCGACGAUCCGUAGCUGGUCUGAGAGGAUGAUCAGCCACACUGGAACUGAGACACGGUCCAGACUCCUACGGGAGGCAGCAGUGGGGAAUAUUGGACAAUGGGCGCAAGCCUGAUCCAGCCAUACCGCGUGAGUGAAGAAGGCCUUCGGGUUGUAAAGCUCUUUUGUUGGGAAAGAAAAGCAGCAGGUUAAUACCCCGCUGUUCUGACGGUACCCAAAGAAUAAGCACCGGCUAACUUCGUG